GUAUAGUACGCAUUUGAUUAUAACAAACAUGAUUAAAACUGUAUGUAUUUCAUAAUUUUUAUUGUAUAAGAAGUUAAUUCCAUUCAGAAUCAAAAAAAAAAAAAUUGAGUUAAAUGACGGAUGUAUUGGUUUUACUUUGAUGCUUUUUUUUUUCUUUGUUUGUACUGUGUACAAGAAAUCUACUAGAAAUCAUACUCCAAUAUACAGGCUGUCCCACGAAGAUAUACCCUUUGAAUAUCUCUGAAGAUAAAAAUAUAAUCAAAUUUUAUUUUUUAUGCUACUCACAGAGAUGAGAACUAUGAAU